rnacentral:rRNA from 1 species
UACAGAGGUGGCAAGCGUUGUUCGGAAUUACUGGGCGUAAAAGGGCGCGUAGGCGGCCCCACUAAGUCAGACGUGAAAUCCCCCCGGCUUAACCUGGGAACUGCGUCUGAUACUGGAGGGCUUGAGUAUGGGAGAGGGAUGUAGAAUUCCAGGUGUAGCGGUGAAAUGCGUAGAUAUCUGGAGGAAUACCGGUGGCGAAGGCGGCAUCCUGGACCAUUACUGACGCUGAGACGCGAAAGCGUGGGGAGCAAACAGG